GCGAAUCUUUUUGCGGUCUGGGCUUGCUGUACAUAACUCAAUAGCCGGAAGCCCUUACCCCAAAAAGCAUUCGC
ensembl:miRNA microRNA 129-2